rfam:Mesocricetus auratus contig170225, whole genome shotgun sequence.
CUAAAAUUUCGGAUCUAGCUUCUGAGAUGGGCCGUUAUAAAGGCGUUGUUGUGUUUUGUUUUAGUAUUGCUAGUGUUGUAAUUCCCGUGUUUCUUUUCCUAGGGCAGUGACGCAAGGCUUCUUUACUGGUGUGAGAAUUGAAUGUAGUGAGCAUCAGAAAAGGCAGACAGAAGAAGAAAAUGCAGUGCUGGCUAGGUGUUUGCAGAUGGUCUUUGCAUGGCUCUGGCUGACCUCAGACGCAUCCGUCUUGGCGUUCAAGUGCUGGGGAUCGUGUGCCAAGCAGGCCGGCUAUUAUGAAUAGAGCAUGAGGUCGUGUGCUUCUUACAGAAAGUUGUUUGAAUUGAAUGCAAUAAAUGGUUGGAAGCACUCAGUCUCUUAAUCCUAUUGGGUUUAAAACUUUGACUGGAUUAAGCCUGGGUUUGGAGUGAACCUUUAGGAUUAUGGCAAAGUCUGGUGUACAAAAUUAGGUGUGGGCAGGGAAUUGAGACUGGUGUCUUUUUAAGGGAUGCGUGCUAAUGGUUGUCUUGUUAACACAUGUAUGACAGUGUCAAUGUGUUUUGAUCCUAAGACACUGCCACCUCCCUUCAUUUUCGUCCCUGGUCUAACUGGUAAUUGCCAUCCUGAAAAUGGCGGGUGGCAUGUUGUAAUUGUAAUCCACAUUUCCUUGUCCAGCAGUGCUCACGGUGAAUGCUGAAAUAAAGGUUCAAUUGCAAC